UACGGGGGGAGCAAACGUUGUUCGGAAUCACUGGGCGUAAAGGGCGUGUAGGCGGCUGAAUAAGUGGGAUGUUAAAUCCCCCGGCUUAACCGGGGACCUGCAUCUCAUACUGUUCAGCUCGAGCACAUCAGAGGAGACUGGAAUUCCCGGUGUAGCGGUGAAAUGCGUAGAUAUCGGGAAGAUCACCCGUGGCUAAGACGGCUCUCUAGUACGGUACUGACGCUGAGACGCGAAAGCGUGGGGAGCGAACAGG
rnacentral:rRNA from 1 species